AGGGCCUGGCCUUUGGUGAAGUGGGGAUGGGGGAAUUAAGUCCCCAAACACCCACUGCUCGCUGGCUUGCCUAGGAAAGGCCCUGGGAACCCUGAGGGGCUACGUAGAGUUGGGUGGCUGGAGGGGCUGCCCAAGUCUAUGUGGCUCAGCAAGGCCCACCCCACACAGCCCAGUCAGAGCAGGGUACACAGGGGCCUCUUCCAAGUAUUCUCAGGUCCGUACCCAGACACGGGUAGUGGCCUCACCCCACACACUGGUCCCUGGCCUUAGUCACUGCACCAUGCCUGGUGCAUCCUAAACCAGAGGGCCAGCGUGUAACAGGUGAUGGCUGCGGCCAGAGAGGACACAGGCAGCCCCUGCUGCUCAUAGACACUACAGUGUUUGUCUGUCUGUUUGUCUGUCAGAUUCCAGAGGGCCAGCGUAUAGCAGGUGAUGGCCACAGCCAGAGAGGGCACAGGCAGCCCCUGCUGCUCAUAAACACUACAGUGUGUGUCUGUCUGUCUGUCUGUCCGUCAGAUUUUUCUUUACUUUUGCACGUGCGCUCUGGGCUUGGAUAUCCAGCCAUGCCUUUGUCCUGCCUGCCAAGCUGGGCUCCAGGCCCCAGAGUGUCCACUCAGACACAUGCCAGUCUGGGCAGGUGGCUACAUUGCUCUCCCAGGCAGAAGGGAACAAAGGACCAGUGGACAUGACAGCCCUAGGAUAUGAUGGGUGGCUAUGAUGAUCACCCAUAUUCCUGGCCUCCAGCCCAUGGAUUCCCCCCGCCUUCCCACACCAGGCCCCUCUCCUGUCUGCAGUUGAGGGUCCAGUUUUGUGCCAUCCCACCCACUGCAGAGCUGAAGGCUGUCAGGGUCCUCCUGGCCACCCACAGACUUCUCCUUGGGGAACCCAGGGCCUCACAGCAGGCAUCUGUGCUACACAGUGGGAAGAGAAAUUGGGACUAUACAGGUGUCUGAGGGCUGGAGCACCCCAGGCCAGCAAAGUGUUACCCAUUUUUGAGCAGUGUGUGCCAAGUGCGCUGGGCCAUGGUGGCCACAGCCAAAGCUCUGGGGCAGCAACCAGCUCACCCGAGUGGUGGGUGGCCGGUUCUGCCCAGGGGAACUGGGUCAGGGGCCCUUGGGACUGUGCCAUACAGGUCAGGGUGGGGACCCCAGCCUCCCUACUUCUGACUCGAUCCUCACCAAGGGAUGGCCCAAUUGCAGGGGACAGGCUGGUUUUUUGUGUCCACCUUGGUGCACUGGGAGUGCCAACCACCAUCCAGCACCCGGUCCAGGGAGCCCAGGCCGGGCCUGUGGUGGCUGACAGCAGCUGCUGUGACCCUUGUAUAUUACACAGUCCUGAUUUCAAACUUCAGCCUAUUUAAGAGAACACUUAAAACACUGUUUUUAACCCUUGUCCUUUGUGAAGCAUGUUCCUGUGUGAGGGGAGGCUCAGGCACCCGACUGAGUGCCAGGCUUCUACAGGCCCUUGGCCCUGGGCGCCAAGGUGUGAGCAGCAGGUCAGGGUCCUGACCCCUUAACCCAGAGGGUCUUGCUGAAGCCACCUUUUCAUAUCUUUCUCUUGAAUUCUGUUUUAAAUCGGAAUAAAUUUUGUUCCUAAA
rnacentral:lncRNA from 1 species